CUUCAGCUCAUCCAAGAAGCUGACAAGUACUGUUAGAGGAGGCUGUACAUGUUGCUCUAAUGGACCUCAUUAAGUUCUACUUACAGAUGUUCUCUUAACAUAAUUGAUCUGCGAUGAAAACUUUAAGGAACAAUGAAGGAGAGAGGUACUGCUCUGAAACGGAUUGAAAUGUGGAGCUGCAGCGAGCUGUUUGCCAGAGAUUUGAAAGCUACAGUAGAAAAAGCCCAAGGCCAUCAGACAAACAACAAAAAAAAAAAAGUUUGGGAGAGCGCGCAUCCUGAAUUUGAUAACACCUCCGGUCCCCUGCAGUUGGCGGGUCCCCUGCCUCUCCCUCUCCUGCCUGGAGCUCACGGUCCCAGCGUGGCACGUGGGCUUUUCCUGGCACUGCUUGCGCACACGGAGCAGCCAGGCUCGUUUUCGGCGCUCACGCUGCCUUCCUCAGGGCCCUUUUCGCAGGGACCCUGCUCUCCUCCCAAGUCACCCGCAACGAUUCACUUCUGUGGGGUGAGGACUCGGGGAAAGGUGUUGUUGACAAAUGGUUUGUGUUCGCCCUUACGCUGGGUGAGGGAGACAGGCAGGAUAGCGGGGAUGCAU